ACAUGAAAGACUGAUCAACAGGUUAGACUAGACGUCCUCAGCGGAAUACAACAGAAGCAAACAUUCUAGAACUAAGGACAGAGACAAACUGGAGAUCAACAUGCUUUCUAUCAGAUCCUUGGACACAAUUGUUUUGAUACUAUUUAUCUCCAGUUUACGCACAGAUGCAAGGCCCAUGAGAAAAAGGUCCAUCAGUGAGGUGCAGCUCAUGCACAACAUGCAGGUGCACAAACAGGUGGGGGAAAGACAGGACUGGCUGCAGUCAAAAUUAAAGGAUAUACUUGCUGCCUCACACGCCAAAGCCCAGCAUGGACGAUCAGGGAAAAUCAGUAAUCUCUAUCUUGAUGAUCUUAUGGGAACAAAUCUGGUCACCAGUUGAACCCAUUCAAGGGGUUUGUCUUAUAUUAUUGUAAGUCUUAAGCCACACAAGGAAAUACCUCCUACUAAAACUGUGCAUCUUACCUUGAAACUUAAUGAUUUAUAACAUAGGAGUCUGUUGAAGGUUAAUAUUUGAUGACUCCCACUAUGUUUCUAUUUUAUGUAUUUAUUGAUUGUAUUUAUGUAUGUAUUUUUUGUCUUUUUAUAUGAUUAUUUAUUAUCUUAUUUAUUGAGUUGAUACAUCUUUUUCAAGGGAUCUGAAUGAACACAAAUGCCUGAAAAUAUGUUCUAUGGACACUGCAAGGACCAAAAAACAAAACAAAACAUUCAGAACAGGUAGCUCAUAAAACAAUUAUAGAUGACCUCUUGCUCUUUUGC